GAUGAACGCUGGCGGCGUGCUUAACACAUGCAAGUCGAACGGUGAACGAGGGAGCUUGCUCCCUCCGGAUCAGUGGCGAACGGGUGAGUAACACGUGAGCAAUCUGCCCUGGACUCUGGGAUAAGCGUUGGAAACGACGUCUAAUACCGGAUACGAGACGCGAAGGCAUCUUCAGCCUCUGGAAAGAACUUCGGUCCAGGAUGAGCUCGCGGCCUAUCAGGUAGUUGGUGAGGUAACGGCUCACCAAGCCUACGACGGGUAGCCGGCCUGAGAGGGUGACCGGGCACGCUGGGACUGAGGCACGGCCCAGACGCCUACGGGAGGCAGGAGUGGGGAAUAUUGCACAAUGGGCGCAAGCCUGAUGCAGCAACGCCGCGUGAGGGACGACGGCCUUCGGGUUGUAAACCUCUUUUAGCAGGGAAGAAGCGAAAGUGACGGUACCUGCAGAAAAAGCACCGGCUAACUACGUGCCAGCCGCCGCGGUAACAC
rnacentral:rRNA from 1 species